UAUAGAAUAUUAAAUGUGUAUAUUAAAAAGAGAAGAAAAAGAGAGAAAAAAAGGGGAAGGGCUUAAAAGCGACCCCCCAGCCAUACAUGUUAUUACCAUACAUGUUAUUAUUAUUCAAUAUUCUUCAAUUUUUUUUUUUCUUUUUUUUUUUUUCUUU
rnacentral:ribozyme from 13 species